GGUCAAAGUUUGGCCCAGGUUUCUCUGGCAUGAAAGACAAAUGUGCAGUGGGUUAAAAAUGAUCUGUUGGCCCUGCACCCAGAGAAGGACACUGUGGAAACCAGGCAGAAGAACGGGCUUGCGCAAGAUGACCCAACCAACAGUGGGUGUAAGUUGGUCACUUCAGGCCCGAAGCCAUGAGGCGCAUCAGUUGCUCCAUCAAUAGCCCUGCACAAUUGCUAUGAAGCCGUCACAACAUGGAUGGAUGGGGCAUCUGUGUCUUCUGCACUGCAAACAGGAUGGGAGCAGCUGCCCCCACUAAGGAAGCAACUAAGGGUGAUUGUCAUGGGAGACUCCCUCCUGCGGGGCACAGAAGGAGCCAUUUGUCAUCCAGACCCUCUUGCUUGAGAGGUCUGCUGCCUUUCAGGAGCCAGGAUCCAAGAUGUUACGGAAAGGAUCCCUAAGCUGGUCCAUCAUAUGGACCACUACCACAUGUUCUUUGUCGAUGUGGGCACCAACAAUAUGGGAAGAAACAGCUCUGGGGGAAUCACGGGUGACUACAGGACCAUGGGGGCAAGCUCAAGGAACUAGGAGCACAAGUGGUCUUCUCAAUCAUUCCACUCAGGGGCUGAGGCCAAUGAAGGGAGGAGUGCAUUGAAGAGGUCAACCAAAGACUUUGCAGAUGGUGUCACUGCAUAGGCUUUGGAUUCCUUGACCCUGACAUGCAGAGCAAUGGUAUUCAAGAGAUGGUAUUCACCUCACAGGCAGAGGGAGGAAGCUCUUUUCUACUGUAGCAGAAAGCCCCCUUUUCCUCUUGCCUGCAUUUGCUCUCCCCUCUUUGGAUAUGUUUCUCUUUUUCUACCUUUUCUUCCUUCCUCUCUCUUUCACUUUAAGAUAAGGAAUUGUGUUUUAAAAUUUGUAUGUGUGCAUUUUGUAUCUCCCCUUGUAGUUUGGUAUUUUUAUCUAUUUGUGUGCCAUGGCAUUUGUAGCUUAUAUUUUAUAGUCCUCACCUUUCAACUUUCAACUGAAUAUGUUUAGUUUCAUAAGUAAAUUAUACAUUGUAACAAUGUUAACAAAGGCAGGAAUCAAACUGCCCUUCCCUGUAUCAGGCUGGCCUCUGAAAGAGUGAGUGAAUCAGUGAUUGAAUGUGUAACAUAGUAGCAGGCAGCAAUUAUCACCUGGAAGCUGCAGAUCAACCAAGGGAAGAACUCAAUAGAAGACAAUGUAACAACGGGGAAAUCUCUAAAUGUCACUGAUCAAGGACUAGAAGCCCUGGUCUGAGUUAAUCAACGCCAGAGACCAACUUUUGGGCUGAAUAUCUCCAGAUCGACCACUUGCAGAGCCCUAUUCUAAAUUCAUCAACGGACUCCCAAACCUGCACGUACAUGCGGACGACCCCUGGGGCUGACAGAUGUUGUCCAGUAGCCACCAAGGGGGGGGGGGGGAAGUCCCACGAGGGUCAAUGACCCUUGGAUUGGGCAAACCUGAAAACUAGGGAGUCACCAAAGUCUGCCAGGGACAGAUAAAAGGCAGUGAAAAGUGACCCUCAGUGGCGCCCUCCUGAUCUCCAUCUCAACCAGACCUGUCCAGCCAGAAGGACCAGCUGGCGAUCCCCUUCUGGAAGAUAACACCACGCUGAAAGAAGCCUCAACAACAGACUCCAGCGCUUGUAGGAUAGGUAUACCUGACUCUGUAGCCUGCUACUAUGUGUGUGUAUGUGUGUGGGGACCAGCCCCAAGGUUUAUGAUUACAGUGUUUCAAUCUGCCUAAUAAACUAGAAUUUUAAGGA